AUAGAGUUCCUGUUCGCAGAAUUUCAGAGAACGUAAGGUUGGAGUCAGAUUUCAGGGUUGAAGAACAGAUCUCUAUAGGUGAAGAGUAGAUUAUAUUUUUUCAGAAUUAUUCUUCUCCCAAGCUUUCAAGGACUUCUUUUGAGGUACUCUUAGUUCGGGUGAGGAGUGAUGGCUAGGCUGAGGAAUGGUCAUCAUUAGGAUUUGACUUAGGAUUUUAUGUUGGAUUUUGUUUAACUAUUAGUUAUGUUC